GAGUGUAAAUAUAAAAAUUGGAAGCUAUAGUCAUUAUUUUCAAAUUUCGUAACUUAUAGUCUCAUUUUCAAAUUCAGUAACAUAUAGUCAUCUUUUUCAAAAACACUAAAAGUUACAGUCUUAUUUUAACAAUUAACUCUCGUCUCCAAGGGGACACCAAGCGGUGCGACCUCCUGUGUGUGAACAGUGAGGUCUCGGGUUCAAACCCCACUGCUCCCCCUCCCCAACUCCCCCAAGUAAAAAAANAACAAUUAACUCCCAAAUUCACAGCAAAAUAAGAAUGUUGUCCAAUCCCAAUUUCAACAAUAAACCUCUAACACGUCAAAAUAAAACUUUGCCCGC
rnacentral:lncRNA from 1 species